GUUUCCAGGGCCGCAGGGAAGGGUCUCUGUCCAUCCACACACAAGGACGUUGGCUCAAUAUGUAAUAACCAUGAGCCAGAGUUGGUUUUGGGGGGAAAGAAAUCAAAGGUGCUGGCAGAGCGAGCAGGCAUUUUCCUGAGGGUGAGGUGCACACAGGUACACACAACAAUGAAGUGUUUGUGGGCGAGGCCCAGGCCAACUCUACCAGCAAAGAGCCGAUGGCCAGACUAUGAGCCGGGUCCUCUCAACUGUGGACUUGGCCCACGUUCUUGCCCUGGGAGAAAUUCCUCCCAAGAGCUGAGGGAGUGGAAAGAGAAGGACUCCUUAGACCCGCGGCCUCAGUUAUCUUCAUCUGUGAAAUGUGAAUAAUGGCGACACCUACUGGAAAUACUGCUGUGAGGAGUUCUUGUAAGGGCAAAUGCCUGGAGUGUGGCAGGCACUCGAUAGUCAUCAAAUCCAGCCCCUGGCAACAGUAGAAAACUGUGCUCCCACUCCAAUGACUUCUGCAGCUGCCAUCCUCCUGUUUCCUUUGCCUGGGAUGUCCUCUAGCCAGCCUCCUCUAUCUGGUGAACUCCCAGACCUUCUCCAAGACCCAGCUCCAAUGGCACCCCCUCUGAGAGGCCAGCCUGGACCCUUCCAGGAACAUGGAAGUGCAGGAUGACACCAUGUGACGCUGUAUACUAAUAGAGAAUCAUAAAAUUGUCUGCCAGCCUAACAGCCACGCUGUGGAAUCGGGCAGCCUCGCAUGUAUAUCCCGGUCCCACCACUUACUGCCUAGGUGACCUUGAACAAGUUACUUCAUCACUCUGAAUGUUUCCUCAUCUGCAAAAUGGACCCAGUAAGAGCUCCUCCUUCGCGGAGUCACGGUCACUAAGCGAGAUGACGUGUGUCAAAACCUCAGUAUGGGGCCCGGCGCGGAGUGAUUCCCCUAAGUGUUAGCCGUUUUGGUUAUAAGUAAGGUUUUUAAUUGUCCAGUGCGGAUAGAGAACAGGGUGGGGCGUAAUAAAGAA